rnacentral:lncRNA from 13 species
GGAAAAGCUGAAGAAUCAAGCUUCAGAGAAGACAGAGACCAGAGGAGCUCUGGGGAUUUAGGGGACUGAAGCCAAAGGACAAGCUCCAACCAUGUUCAGCCUUUUUGUCACUCCACUCAAGUCCAGAGACAGAGUUGGCUGAACUCAAACUCUUGGCCUCCCGAAGCGCUGGGAUUGCAAGCAUGAACCAUGGUGCCUGCUCACCCUCUAGUUUCUUAUGGGUUCAGCCAGCAGAAGGCAGCAGCUGAAGACUGGAGUGCAGGAGGCGCUGAGGCUGUGUGACCCGGCUCUCUUCAGGGCAGACAAGAGGCCAGGAGGGACACUUGGUCAGCAAAGCCCACCUCCAGCCCUCCCUAGGAAAGCCAGGAGCAUGCAGUUUCCAAACUCCCAGUAUUUGCUGUCCUUGCAGCAAUAAGGCCACAGCCUGCAAAGAAUGAUGAUGGAAUCAAUGGCAUCUGAGGGUGACUUUGAAAAAGAACAGGAGCACUGCUGAAACAGCUCAUUCAGUGACAGGGACAUCAAUGAGAGAACCAGAGAGGGAUCAAUACCCUGAAGGUGAACCGUUUGCAAAGUGGAACCACUAUUGAGCAACUGACAAGCUCAGAAGUGGGCAUCCAUGGGAACAUAAAGGGAGAUGCUUGCAAGCCUCCCCAACCCAUCCUUUUUUCAAGCAGAGAAUUCCACUUAUGCACAUGUAAUGGAAGUCUCGUCACCAAAUCAUGAGUACCUUUGAGUUCCGGAGCUUCAGAAGAGAUUCUGGGUUCCUUUGAUCUGAGUGUCAUUUCACAAACCACAUCAGGUCUAAAUAAAUAAGAAAUGGUCUCAGCUCUGAAGCGCCUG